AUACGGAGGGUGCAAGCGUUACUCGGAAUCACUGGGCGUAAAGCGCGCGCAGGCGGGUAUUUAAGUUGGAUGUGAAAGCCUACGGCUCAACCGUAGAACUGCAUCCAAAACUAUUUAGCUAGAGUGUGGGAGAGGAAGAUGGAAUUAGUUGUGUAGGGGUAAAAUCCGUAGAGAUAACUAGGAAUACCAAAAGCGAAGGCAAUCUUCUGGAACACUACUGACGCUGAGGCGCGAAAGCGUUGGGAGCAAACAGGAUUAGAAACCCUAGUAGUCC
rnacentral:rRNA from 1 species